rnacentral:rRNA from 1 species
AGCUCCAAUAGCGUAUAUUAAAGUUGUUGCAGUUAAAAAGCUCGUAGUUGGAUUUGGGACUGGAGUCGUCGGGUCGGCCGCGAGGUCUGUUACUGGACGGCUCCGUCAUUUCAUCUCUCGGAGACCCGUCGUGCACUUCGCUGUGCGCGGCGCGGGACUCGGGACGUUUACUUUGAAAAAAUUAGAGUGUUCAAAGCAGGCUUUUCAAGCCCGGAUACAUGAGCAUGGAAUAAUGGAAUAGGACAAGUCAAUUUUAUUGGUUAUUUGACUUGUAAUGAUUAACAGGGACAGUUGGGGGCGUUUGUAUUCAAUAGUCAGAGGUGAAAUUCUUGGAUUUGUUGAAGACAAACUAAUGCGAAAGCAUUCGCCAAGGAUGUUUUCAUUAAUCAAGAACGAAAGU